CCCCUCUCAGGACUGCACCUGAAGUGUAUCCAGUACUCUACCAGUCUCAUCUAUGGGAGGGAGAUACAAGCAGAAGCAUACCCAUUCCAUUCCUGGCUUGGACAGUGGCUAGCAAGUGGAAGUCAAUCUGCUACAAAA